UACGUAGGGUGCGAGCGUUAAUCGGAAUUAUUGGGCGUAAAGAGCUCGUAGGCGGUCUGUCGCGUCGAAUGUGAAAACCCGGGGCUCAACUCCGGGCUUGCAUUCGAUACGGGCAGGCUAGAGUUCGGUAGGGGAGUCUGGAAUUCCUGGUGUAGCGGUGAAAUGCGCAGAUAUCAGGAGGAACACCGGUGGCGAAGGCGGGACUCUGGGCCGAUACUGACGCUGAGGAGCGAAAGCGUGGGGAGCGAACAGG
rnacentral:rRNA from 1 species